rnacentral:rRNA from 1 species
UACGGGGGGGGCAAGCGUUGUUCGGAAUUACUGGGCGUAAAGGGCGUGUAGGUGGUUACGUAAGUCUGGCGUGAAAUAUCUCGGCUUAACCGAGGCAGGUCGUCGGAUACUGCGAGACUAGAGGACGGUAGAGGCGUGUGGAAUUCCCGGUGUAGCGGUGAAAUGUGUAGAGAUCGGGAGGAACACCGGUGGCGAAGGCGGGUCUCUGGGCAUCUCCUGACGCUGAGGCGCGAAAGCGUGGGGAGCAAACGGG